rnacentral:tmRNA from 1 species
GGGGGCGUAAAGGUUUCGACAGGGAGUAUAAGCUUCGGCAAGCGAGCAGCGGCACUGCAGAACCGCUAUAAAAUCCGCAGAACUUAAAAUUAAACGACAACAAUAAUACUGUUGCUCUUGCUGCUUAAUUAAGCGCAAGCGUCCUUAUUUGGAGGACCACGGCCAUAUAAGGGCGUUGACUAGUGGUGAACGUGAACGGAAAAGUGUCUUGGUUUCCGUCAUGUAUUAAAGACUACCGAAACACAGGGUUUGUUACCGUACGCUGUGUGGGGGGAAUCAUUGAUCGGUAACUGCGCUCGGAGAAAACCGUUGUAAGUGCUUUUUGGACAGGGGUUCGACUCCCCUCGCCUCCACCA